rnacentral:rRNA from 1 species
CCUACGGGUGGCUGCAGUGGGGAAUAUUGGGCAAUGGGCGAAAGCCUGACCCAGCAACGCCGCGUGAAGGAAGAAGGCUUUCGGGUUGUAAACUUCUUUUGCCAGGGAAGAGCAGAAGACGGUACCUGUCGAAUAAGCCACGGCUAACUACGUGCCAGCAGCCGCGGUAAUACGUAGGUGGCAAGCGUUGUCCGGAUUUACUGGGGGUAAAGGGCGUGUAGGCGGGCUGACAAGUCAGAUGUGAAAACCGGGGGCUCAACCCCCGAACUGCAUUUGAAACUGUUGGUCUUGAGUGUCGGAGAGGCAAGCGGAAUUCCUGGUGUAGCGGUGAAAUGCGUAGAUAUUAGGAGGAACACCAGUGGCGAAGGCGGAUUACUGGACCGUAACUGACGUUGAGGCGCGAAAGCGUGGGGAGCAAACAGGAUUAGAUACCCGAGUAGUC